GUGGAUAUAGUUCAAUCGGUAGAGCACCAGAUUGUGGUUCUGGAUGUUGCGGGUUCAAGUCCCGUUAUCCACC
rnacentral:tRNA from 1 species